rnacentral:rRNA from 1 species
GACGUAGGGCGCGAGCGUUGUCCGGAUUUAUUGGGCGUAAAGAGCUCGUAGGCGGCUUGUCGCGUCGACUGUGAAAUCCCGCGGCUCAACUGCGGGUCUGCAGUCGAUACGGGCAGGCUAGAGUUCGGUAGGGGAGACUGGAAUUCCUGGUGUAGCGGUGAAAUGCGCAGAUAUCAGGAGGAACACCGAUGGCGAAGGCAGGUCUCUGGGCCGAUACUGACGCUGAUGAGCGAAAGCGUGGGGAGCGAACAGG